rnacentral:rRNA from 1 species
CCCUUAGAUGUUCUGGGCCGCACGCGUGCUACACUGAACGGUUCAAUGGGUAAGGUAGUGCGAAAGCAUGACCUAAUCUCGAAAUCCGUUCGUGCUGGGGAUAGAAGCUUGCAAUUAUCCUUCUUGAACGAGGAAUACCUUGUAGGCGUGAGUCAUCAUCUCACGCUGAAUACGUCCCUGCCCUUUGUACACACCGCCCGUCGCUCCUACCGAUUGAGUGUUCCGGUGAGGCUUUGGGAGAAUGGCCUCAACAUGAGUUUAUCGUGUUUUGCCGUUUGAACUUAGUCAGACCUUAUCACUUAGAGGAAGGAGAAGUCGUAACA